GAUGAACGCUGGCGGCGUGCCUUACACAUGCAAGUCGAACGGAAAGGCCCUUGCUUUCUGCUGGUCUCGAGUGGCGAACGGGUGAGUAAUACAUCAGUACCCUUCCCUUGACUUUGGGUUAACCUCCGGAAACCGGGUUCAAUACCCGUACGGACUUCCUGUUGCAGCGGGGGGGCUGGGAAGUUUCGGCGGUUGGGGUUGGACUCGCGGCUUAUCCGCUUGUUGGUGGGGUAGUGGCUUACCAAGGCUUUGACGGGUAGCCGGCCUGAGAGGGUGACCGGCCACAUUGGGACUGAGAUACGGCCCAGACUCCUACGGGAGGCAGCAGUGGGGAAUAUUGCACAAUGGGCGGAAGCCUGAUGCAGCAACGCCGCGUGCGGGAUGACGGCCUUCGGGUUGUAAACCGCUUUCGCCUGUGACGAAGCGUGAGUGACGGUAAUGGGUAAAGAAGCACCGGCUAACUACGUG
rnacentral:rRNA from 1 species